GUGGGGAAUCUUCCGCAAUGGACGAAAGUCUGACGGAGCAACGCCGCGUGAGUGAUGACGGCCUUCGGGUUGUAAAGCUCUGUGAUCGGGGACGAAUGGCUGGUAUGCUAAUACCAUAUCAGCGUGACGGUACCCGAAUAGCAAGCCACGGCUAACUACGUGCCAGCAGCCGCGGUAAUACGUAGGUGGCAAGCGUUGUCCGGAAUUAUUGGGCGUAAAGCGCGCGCAGGCGGCUUCUUAAGUCCAUCUUAAAAGUGCGGGGCUUAACCCCGUGAUGGGAUGGAAACUGGGAGGCUGGAGUAUCGGAGAAGAAAGUGGAAUUCCUAGUGUAGCGGUGAAAUGCGUAGAGAUUAGGAAGAACACCAGUGGCGAAGGCGACUUUCUGGACGACAACUGACGCUGAGGCGCGAAAGCUAGGGGAGCGAACGGGAUUAGAUACCCCGGUAGUCC
rnacentral:rRNA from 1 species